rnacentral:snRNA from 2 species
AUGCUCGCUUUGGCAACACAUAUACUAAAAUUGGAACGAUACAGAGGUUAGCAUGGCCCUUGCACAAGGAUGACACACAAAUUCGUGAAGGGUUCCAUAUUUUU